CCAUCGGUGGUUCAGUGGUAGAAUGCUCGUCUGCCACGCGGGCGGCCAGGGUUCGAUUCCCGGCCGAUGCA
rnacentral:tRNA from 1 species